UGAACGCUGGCGGUAUGCUUAACACAUGCAAGUCGAACGGAAACGAUACUAGCUUGCUAGUAGGCGUCGAGUGGCGGACGGGUGAGUAACGCGUAGGAAUCUGCCUGAUAGUGGGGGAUAGCCCGAAGAAAUUCGGAUUAAUACCGCAUAAUCUAUUCGUAGUAAAGUGGGGGACUUUCGAGCCUCACGCUAUCAGAUGAGCUUGCGUAAGAUUAGCUAGUUGGUAGGGUAAAAGCCUACCAAGGCUACGAUCUUUAGCUGGUCUGAGGGGAUGAUCAGCCACAUCGGGACUGAGACACGGCCCGAACUCCUACGGGAGGCAGCAGUGGGGAAUAUUGGACAAUGGGGGCAACCCUGAUCCAGCAAUACCGCGUGUGUGAAGAAGGCCUGAGGGUUGUAAAGCACUUUCAAUUGUGAAGAAAAGUUAACGGUUAAUAACCGUUAGCCUUGACGUUAACUUUAGAAGAAGCACCGGCUAACUCCGUGCCAGCAGCCGCGGUAAUACGGAGGGUGCAAGCGUUAAUCGGAAUUACUGGGCGUAAAGCGUGCGUAGGCGGUUUAUUAAGUCAGAUGUGAAAGCCCGGGGCUUAACCUGGGAACUGCAUUUGAAACUGGUCAACUAGAGUAUGGUAGAGGAAAGUGGAAUUUCUGGUGUAGCGGUGAAAUGCGUAGAUAUCAGAAGGAACAUCAAUGGCGAAGGCAGCUUUCUGGACCAAUACUGACGCUGAGGUACGAAAGCGUGGGUAGCAAACAGGAUUAGAUACCCUGGUAGUCCACGCCGUAAACGAUGAUAACUAGCCGUUGGGGGGAUUUACCCUUUAGUGGCGAAGCUAACGCGUUAAGUUAUCCGCCUGGGGAGUACGGCCGCAAGGUUAAAACUCAAAGGAAUUGACGGGGACCCGCACAAGCGGUGGAGCAUGUGGUUUAAUUCGAUGCAACGCGAAGGACCUUACCUGGUCUUGACAUCCUGCGAACUUUCUAGAAAUAGAUUGGUGCCUUCGGGAACGCAGUGACAGGUGCUGCAUGGCUGUCGUCAGCUCGUGUCGUGAGAUGUUGGGUUAAGUCCCGUAACGAGCGCAACCCCUAUCCUUAUUUGCCAGCACGUCAUGGUGGGAACUAUAAGGAGACUGCCGGUGAUAAACCGGAGGAAGGCGGGGACGACGUCAAGUCAUCAUGGCCCUUACGACCAGGGCUACACACGUGCUACAAUGGGAAGGACAAAGAGCCGCGAAGCCGCGAGGUGUAGCUAAUCUCAGAAACCUUUUCGUAGUCCGGAUUGGAGUCUGCAACUCGACUCCAUGAAGUCGGAAUCGCUAGUAAUCGUAGAUCAGAAUGCUACGGUGAAUACGUUCCCGGGUCUUGUACACACCGCC
rnacentral:rRNA from 1 species